UACGGGAGGCAGCAGUGAGGAAUCUUCCGCAAUGGACGAAAGUCUGACGGAGCAACGCCGCGUGAGCGAUGAAGGUCUUCGGAUCGUAAAGCUCUGUUGUUAGGGAAGAACAAGUACGAGAGUAACUGCUCGUACCUUGACGGUACCUAACCAGAAAGCCACGGCUAACUACGUGCCAGCAGCCGCGGUAAU
rnacentral:rRNA from 1 species